UCCCAGCCCACUCAGGUUACCUAAUCCUUUCUCUUGCCCAAAAACAAACACAUAACUGCCUUUCCCCAGCCCAGGCCCCCAGCAAACCCACGUGGAACUCAGAGGGUGAGAGGAAGAUGCCAUUCGUGGGAAGGUGGGUGGCAGCCACCCCCACCCACGCACAGCUAGGAACAGGAGUCUCAAAAUUCUUCCUCAGAAAUGGGUAACCUCAGGGCUGAAGCAGCAGGUCCAAAAGAGAUUUAGGGGUCAGGGCACCCUUCCUCCUGCCCUGACCCUAGAUCACAGCCAGGUCCCUGGGAGGGCACACAUGUUCGGGCCCCACUUCCUGUUCCCAUGGAAACCAGCAGGGCUGAGCUACCAAAGCAAGGUCCGCGCAGGCAGGGCCAGAGAGGCCCUGUCACCCCACAGCAGGUGGGAGCCAGCUCCCACUCCGACCCAGGUGGCCUGGACUCCUCGAGAUGGGCGGAGUCACCAAGGCCUGCAGAGGCCGUGCCCAUGCCCAAGGUCACAUCCAGCAAGAAACAGGACUGAGAUCAAUGCAGGCCUUUGCCAGACCAAAGGUCUCUGCGAUUCUGCUGUGAACUGCUUCUCCACCAAGGCCGUGUGACGGCGGGGGACCUAGAGAUGGCUCUGUGCCACCCAGCCUGGGACACAGCUGUUCAAUGCCCAGUGACCCAGUGCCACUACCUUCCAGCUUUGAUCUCAGGCCCAGCCCUUCUGGCAGCCCCUGUGGUCAUCCUGGGAAGCCGAGGCUCUGAGCUGCCCGUCUUGGCUGCCUGCCUCUCGCUCCGGCCCCAUUUGCACCGACGACUGCCUGGCUGGCCUCGCAGGGAUUGUGCCAUCAGCCAAGUUGGAAGAGACAGCCAUGCCAGUGAUUUGGGGUAUUCUAAAGAAACCCAUGCACAGCCCAAGGCUGACUCCAGAACGGGAGCAACAGGAGAAGGAGGCAGUGAGGAGGCUUCCCCAGGGAGCCCCUCAGGCUUCUAAGGGCCCUGCAGAGCAGGAGGCCCUGACUGCAAUAGGAGGCCUCGUGGUGGUGGCCCGAGGAUAUGGGCUGUCUGGAGAGCACACAGGUGACAACCCCAGCCCAAGAGGCAGGGCAGGCAGCCCAGUCUGUGCUGAGAAAUACCAGCUGCUGUGCCCAGCUCAGCCAAGAGCGCAGCCCGUUUGCUCCCUACGGGGGCGGUGCACUUUCCUUCUGAGCGCACCGCCCCUGUUGCCCUGUGCUGGACCUUCCCCUAGGACCCCACCAGCUCUCAGCCCUGCUUGGAAAAGCACCUGCAUUGCAGGACAUCCUGGUGCCUCAGGAGGACUGUCUCUGAGGGGUUGGAGGCUGUAUGGCCAGGCCCUGGGGUCUCUGUAUGGUAUUCAGCAGUGUCACAUCUCAAGCCCAGGCCAGGACAACGCCACAGAGGACAGAAGCAGGGGCAGAGGCCUUCCUGCUGGCCAGCUACCCAUCUGAAGGUGACCAGCACUGGAGUGAGGCAGGAAUGGGCAGGCUGCACCUCAGAGGGAGGGACCCCUGGGGUCUCACCCUCAGGCCACUCACAGAGGCUGAAAGGUCCAGGCCGAAGGAUCCUCCCACCCCACCUGGCUCUGACAGCACAGCUGCACUGGGGCUGUGCAAGUGGACAGAUUUUUUUGUGCAUGCCAUGUCCUGGUCUCAGCUGGCACAUCUGUCUCCUGGCUGUUUGCUGUGAUGGGCCAGGUACCCAGUGGGUUCUCUUGGGACCUUGUAUCACUGUCUUGUCCUCCAUCACAUAUCAGCUGUCCCAAUGACUUUCCUCAGCUCUAAGACACCCUGCUCUAUUGUGUCCACAGUAUGCAGGCAGAGGAUUGAGAUCCUGCCCUUGUGUUGUGUAAGAGGUGCUCGAAUCCAGUUUUACAUAUGAUAGA